GACGAACGCUGGCGGCGUGCUUAACACAUGCAAGUCGAGCGGAAAGGCCCUUCGGGGUACUCGAGCGGCGAACGGGUGCGUAACACGUGAGUAACCUGCCCCAGACUUUGGGAUAACCCUCGGAAACGGGGGCUAAUACCGGAUACGACACAGCUUCGCAUGGGGUCUGUGUGGAAAGUUUUUCGGUUUGGGAUGGGCUCGCGGCCUAUCAGCUUGUUGGUGGGGUGAUGGCCUACCAAGGCGACGACGGGUAGCCGGCCUGAGAGGGCGACCGGCCACACUGGGACUGAGAGACGGCCCAGACUCCUACGGGAGGCAGCAGUGGGGAAUAUUGCACAAUGGGCGGAAGCCUGAUGCAGCGACGCCGCGUGAGGGAUGACGGCCUUCGGGUUGUAAACCUCUUUCAGCAGGGACGAAGCGUAAGUGACGGUACCUGCAGAAGAAGCGCCGGCCAACUACGUG
rnacentral:rRNA from 1 species